rnacentral:tRNA from 1 species
GGGACUGUAGCUCAUCUGGAUAGAGCAGCUGCCUUCUAAGCAGCAGGUAGAGGGUUCGAGUCCCCCUAGUCUCG